AACGCACCUUGCGCCCUUUGGCUAUUCCGAAGGGCAUGCCUGUUUGAGUAUCAUGAACACCUCAACUCUCACGUUCCUCGUGAUGAGCUUGGACUUGGGGGCUUUGUUGGCCUGUGGGUCAGCUCUCCUCAAAUGAAUCAGCUCGCCGGUGUCUGGCGGCGUCAUGGGUGUGAUAACCGUCUACUCUUGUGAUCGCCUGCAAAGUAAACCUCUGGUCUGCAGAGGUUCGCCGGAGCUUAUAGAUGUCUCUCCUCAGUGAAGACAGCUGUCUGAAGUUCGAUCUCAAAUCAGGUAGGACUACCCGCUGAACUUAA
rnacentral:misc_RNA from 1 species